rnacentral:tRNA from 1 species
GGGGUUGUGGCUCAGCGGUAGAGUGCUCACCUAGCACGUGUGAGGCCCUGGAUUAGAUCCCCAGCACCA